rnacentral:rRNA from 1 species
UACGAAGGGGGCAAGCGUUGUUCGGAAUUACUGGGCGUAAAGGGCGCGUAGGCGGCUUACCAAGUCAGGCGUGAAAUUCCCGGGCUCAACCUGGGGGCUGCGCUUGAUACUGGUGAGCUUGAAUGCGGGAGAGGAUAGUGGAAUUCCCAGUGUAGAGGUGAAAUUCGUAGAUAUUGGGAAGAACACCGGUGGCGAAGGCGGCUAUCUGGCCCGUAAUUGACGCUGAGGCGCGAAAGCUAGGGGAGCAAACAGG